AUUGCUUGUAAUUAAGGAACUUUAUUCAUUAAGUAAACUUAAAACAUAUUACAGUACUAGUUGAUAUCCUUAGCAAAGCAGGAAAGAUUUGAUAUUUGAUACCAAAUGCAAGAACCCAAAUAUCUGAACACACCGAUCAAAAGAACCAAACUUUCAUUCAGUAAUCACCACCACGAAGACGAAGCACAAGGUGUAGAGUGGACUCC
rnacentral:misc_RNA from 1 species